AGAAGAUAUUAAGGGCAGACGGUGGAUGCCUUGGCACAUAGAGGCGAUGAAGGACGUACUAGAUUGCGAUAAGCUACGAUGAGCUGUCAAGAAGCUUUGACUCGUAGAUUUCCGAAUGGGGCAACCCACUAUGUCGUGAGGCAUAGUAUCCCGAAAGGGAGGCGAACGUAGGGAAGUGAAACAUCUCAGUACCUACAGGAGAAGAAAUCAAAAGAGAUACCCAAAGUAGUGGCGAGCGAAAUGGGUUCAGCCCGAGUUUGUGUAGCUUAAGAGAUAGCCAAAUUAUCUGGAAAGUUAAGCCAUAGAGAGUGAAAGCCUCGUAAGCAAAAUCUUUCAAGUGAGACUAAGCAGACUCCUAGCGAGUAGGUCGGGACACGUGGAACCCUGACUGAAGAUGGGUGGACCACCAUCCAAGGCUAAAUACUACUGUGUGACCGAUAGCGAACAAGUACCGUGAGGGAAAGGUGAAAAGAACCGCGGAAGCGGAGUGAAAUAGAACCUGAAACCGUCUGCCUACAAUCAUUGGGAGUCCGAUUACAUACUUUUUUGGUGUGUAUGGAUGACCGACUGCCUUUUGCAUAAUGAGCCUGCGAGUUGUGGCAAGUUGCAAGGUUAAGAUAAUUCGAAGCCGUAGCGAGAGCGAGUCUGAACAGGGCGAUUAGUAACUUACUGCAGACCCGAAACUAAGUGAUCUAUCCAUGGGCAGGUUGAAACCGGUGUAAGAGCCGGCGGAGGACCGAACCGGUGGAGGUUUAAAACUCCUCGGAUGACCUGUGGAUAGGGGUGAAAGGCCAAUCAAACUUAGUGAUAGCUGGUUCUCCGCGAAAUAUAUUUAGGUAUAGCCUCUGUUUUGAAGCAUAGGGGGGUAGAGCACUGAUUCGGCUAGGGCUGCCUACCGCGGUACCAAACCGAGUCAAACUCCGAAUACCCUAUGUCGAUGACAGGGAGUCAGGUGGCGGGUGAUAAAAUCCGUCAUCGAGAGGGAAACAGCCCAGACUACCAGCUAAGGUCCCCAAGUCCUACUUAAGUGGAAAAGGAGGUAGGAUUGCUCAGACAACCAGGAGGUUGGCUUAGAAGCAGCCACCCUUUAAAGAAAGCGUAAUAGCUCACUGGUCUAUUAGAGAUUUUUAUCUCUGCGAUCCUGCGCCGAAAAUAUAACGGGGCUAAAGUAGGCACCGAAGCUGUAGAUUACUAUUUUGUGGUAGUGGUAGCGGAGCGUUCUUGUCAGCGUUGAAGGUGUACUGGUGAGGAGCACUGGAGCGACAAGGAGUGAGUAUGCAGGCAUGAGUAGCGAUAAAACAGGUGAGAAUCCUGUUCGCCGAAAACCCAAGGUUUCCUACACGAUGCUCGUCAAUGUAGGGUUAGUCGGGACCUAAGCCGAGUCCGAAAGGGGUAGGCGAUGGAAAAUCGGUUAAUAUUCCGAUACCGACCAACAAGCGUGAUGGGGGGACGCAUAGGGCUAAGCGAGGCAACUGAUGGAAUAGUUGCUCGAAGGGUGUAGGUCGUUGUCCAGGCAAAUCCGGACAACAUUGAGAUCGAGACCCGACAGGCUCUCUGAACUCUUCGGAGGGAUGAGAGAAUCGCUGAUGCCGUCGUGCCAAGAAAAGCCUCUAAGCAUAUUGUUGGUUGCCCGUACCAUAAACCGACACAGGUGGGUGAGAUGAGUAUUCUAAGGCGCGUGGAAGAACCCUGGUCAAGGAACUCUGCAAGUUGGCACCGUAAGUUCGCGAGAAGGUGUGCCUACUCGGGUGAAGCCCCUGGCGGGUGGAGCCUGAGAGGUUGCAACAAAGAGUCCCUCCCGACUGUUUAUCAAAAACACAGCACUAUGCUAACAAGUAAUUGGAUGUAUAUGGUGUGACGCCUGCCCGGUGCCGGAAGGUUAAAUGAUGGGGUUAGCCGUAAGGCGAAGCUCUUGAUUGAAGCCCCGGUAAACGGCGGCCGUAACUAUAACGGUCCUAAGGUAGCGAAAUUCCUUGUCGGUUAAAUACCGACCUGCAUGAAUGGCGUAACGAGAUGGGAGCUGUCUCGACCAGGGAUCCAGUGAAAUUGUAGUGGAGGUGAAAAUUCCUCCUACCCGCGGCAAGACGGAAAGACCCCGUGGACCUUUACUACAGCUUGACACUGCAGAUGGGAUAUGGAUGUGCAGGAUAGGUGGGAGGCUUUGAAACCCAGACGCCAGUUUGGGUGGAGCCACCCUUGAGAUACCACCCUUCCAUAUUCUGUCUGCUAACUUGCAUCAGUAAUCCUGAUGGAGGACAAUGUCUGGUGGGUAGUUUGACUGGGGCGGUCGCCUCAUAAAGAGUAACUGAGGCUUACAAAGGUUGACUCAUACCGGUUGGAAAUCGGUAGUAGAGUGUAAUGGCACAAGUCAGCUUGACUGAGAGACAGACAAGUCGAUCAGAGACGAAAGUCGGUCAUAGUGAUCCGGUGGUUCUGAGUGGAAGGACCAUCGCUCAAAGGAUAAAAGGUACCCCGGGGAUAACAGGCUGAUCUCCCCCAAGAGCUCACAUCGACGGGGAGGUUUGGCACCUCGAUGUCGGCUCAUCGCAUCCUGGGGCUGAAGCAGGUCCCAAGGGUAUGGCUGUUCGCCAUUUAAAGCGGUACGCGAGCUGGGUUCAGAACGUCGUGAGACAGUUCGGUCCCUAUCUGCCGUGGGCGUUGGAAAGUUGAGGAGAGUUGUCCCUAGUACGAGAGGACCGGGAUGAACGAACCACUGGUGUACCAGUUGUCCUGCCAAGGGCACCGCUGGGUAGCUAUGUUCGGAUGUGAUAACCGCUGAAAGCAUCUAAGCGGGAAGCCAACUCCAAGAUGAACUUUCCCUAAACUCCCUUGAAGACUACAAGGUUGAUAGGCUGGAUGUGUAAGUGGUGUAAGCCAUUUAGCUGACCAGUACUAAUAGAGUUUAUGUUCUUCUUCUG
rnacentral:rRNA from 1 species